AUUCCAGACUCCUACGGGAGGCAGCAGUGGGGGAUAUUGCACAAUGGGGGGAACCCUGAUGCAGCGACGCCGCGUGGGUGAAGGAGCGUUUCGGCGCGUAAAGCCCUAUCGGCAGGGAAGAAGGAGGACGGUACCUGACUAAGAAGCCCCAGCUAACUACGGGCCAGCAGCCGCGGUAAUACGUAGGGGGCAAGCGUUAUCCGGAUUCACUGGGUGUAAAGGGAGCGUAGACGGCGACGCAAGUCUGGAGUGAAAGCCCGGGGCCCAACCCCGGGACUGCUCUGGAAACUGCGGCGCUGGAGUACGGGAGGGGCAGGCGGAAUUCCUGGUGUAGCGGUGAAAUGCGUAGAUAUUAGGAGGAACACCAGUGGCGAAGGCGGCCUGCUGGACGAUGACUGACGUUGAGGCUCGAAAGCGUGGGGAGCAAACAGGAUUAGAUACCCUGGUA
rnacentral:rRNA from 1 species